AUGAAGCCCAGGAAGUAAACACUCCCCAGUGCCUUUCUCAGCGAUGGCCAUAGAGGACAGAGGACUAGCAAAAUCCUCUUAGAAGACAGAUCCCGGAGUAGACAAAAGAGGUUCUCAAGAAAUUCACUCUAAAGCCAGAACAAGAGAUCCGUCUACUCCUGUCCUGCAAAUAGUAUAUUGUCUGCUCCCUGAUUUUCCCAAAGGAACGACUCUUAACUUCCUUUACAUGUGAAUAGGUGAAUCUGAUUUCACUUUGAACUGCAGACAUAGCCAAUCAAAACAUUGUAAACCUCUGGCUUCAGUGAUAGAUUCUGGACAUCUGAACCAUAUGUUGAUAUCUAGGCCAGUGUUCUUGCCUGGAGAAUCCCAUGGACGGAGAAGCCUGGUAGGCUGCAGUCCAUGGGGUCGCACAGAGUUGGACACGACUGAAGCGACUUGGCAGCAGCAGCAGCAGCAGGCCAGUUGAAUCAAAAGAAACAGAACAGUUCUGGAGCUGGGGGAUCUUCUCCUGACCCAGGGAUCAAACCUGGGUCUCCUGCAUUGCAAACAGUUUCUUUACCAUCUGAGUCACCAGGGAAGCCAUACAACUUGUAGACCUCAUUUUAUUGCUCUCCACUUCAUCUCCUUUCCCUACUGUGGACCGAUGGCUGAAUUGUGGACAUGAUGAUAAGAGCCAGUGUUGACCAUGAGCCAUGAAGAUGAGGCCAACACUCUAGAGGAGGCAGAACAGCAAGGCAGAAGUAACCUGGAUCCCUAAGUGACCACCUGGAUUGGAGCCACCCACCUACCUGGGACAACCCAUGAGAAAUAAACUGUUUUAUGUAAAGC
ensembl:lncRNA